CAGUGAUAAACUGGAGGAAGGUGGGGAUGACGUCAAGUCAUCAUGGCCCUUACGAGUAGGGCUACACACGUGCUACAAUGGCAUAUACAAAGAGAAGCGACCUCGCGAGAGCAAGCGGACCUCAUAAAGUAUGUCGUAGUCCGGAUUGGAGUCUGCAACUCGACUCCAUGAAGUCGGAAUCGCUAGUAAUCGUGGAUCAGAAUGCCACGGUGAAUACGUUCCCGGGCCUUGUACACACCGCCCGUCACACCAUGGGAGUGGGUUGCAAAAGAAGUAGGUAGCUUAACCUUCGGGAGGGCGCUUACCACUUUGUGAUUCAUGACUGGGGUGAAGUCGUAACAAGGUAACCGUAGGGGAACCUGCGGUUGG
rnacentral:rRNA from 1 species